GUGAAAAUUAUGAAUUUGUUUGAGUAAUUUAAUUAAAAAUAAUUAUUUAAAUUAUAUGAAAAGUAAUGUAAAUGAAAAAUUAAAAAUAUAAAUAAGUAAUUUUAAUUUAAUGUACCUUUUGUAUCAGGGUUUAUUUAAAAUUUAUUUUUUGAUAUUUAGAAUUUUUCGAAUAAAAAAGAGUUAAAUAAUUAUAAAAUUUAAUGUAAAAUAAUUAUUUUAAAUAUUUAUUUAGAGGAGAUAUUUCAUUCGAUUUUUUAGAUAUCUAAUUUUUUUUGAUAUAAAUUUAAUUUAUAUAUAAAUAAAAUUUUAUAUUAAUUAUGUUAAAAAAUUAUUUAAAUAUUUAUUAAUAUUUAUUUAUAUAAAAAAUUUAUGGGAUAAUCUAUAAAUUAUUUUUAAAAUGAUUUUUUUAUUUUUAUUUAUAAAAAUAUUUCUAAUAUUGAAAUUUUUUUGAAAAAAUUUAAUAAUUUAUAUAUAAUAUAUAUUAUAUUAUUUAUUUUAUUAUAAUUUUAUUUAAAUAGAAAAAAAAUUUAAUUAAUGAAAUUUUUUAAUUAUUUAAAAAAAUAUUUUUAAUAAUUAUGAUUAAUAAAAAAUAAUGAUAAAAUUAGUAUUUUAAAAAUUUUUAUAUUUAUAAUUUUUAAAUUGAUUUAAAUAAAAAUAUUUUUUAAGAAUUAGGCAAAAUAAAUUUUUAUAUAUAAUAAAUUUUUCUUGUAUAAAAAAUUAAAUUCACCUGUUUAAUAAAAACAUGGUUUUAAGAGAUAAAUUUAAGAUUUAUUCUGCUCAAUGAUUUUAAAUUAAAUAGCUGCAGUAUUUUUGACUGUACUAAGGUAGCAUAAUCAAUUGUCUUUUAAUUGGGGACUGGAAUGAAGGAAUGGAUGAGAUUUAAUCUAUUUUAUAAAUACGAUAAAAAUUUAUAUUUUAAGUUAAAAUUCUUAAAUAAUAUUAUGGGACGAAAAGACCCUGUAGAAUUUGAUAUAAUUUUUGAUUUUAUUUUUAAUUAAAUAUAAUUGGGAUUUAUAUUUUAUUGGGAGGAUAGUAAAAUUUAAUUAACUUUUUAAUUAUUAAAUAUUUAUAAAAAUAUUUUUUAUAGUAUAAAAAACAUUAAUUAAUGAAUAAGAGAAUAAAUAAAAUUGAAAAAUUUUUAUUUAUAAUUAGAAUUAAUUACCUCAGGGAUAACAGCAUGAUAUUUUUUUUAAGUUCUUAUUAAAAUAAAUGAUUGUGACCUCGAUGUUGAAUUAAAAUUAAGAUUAAAUGAAGAAGUUUAAUUAUUUAGUCUGUUCGACUAUUAAAAUUUUACAUGAUUUGAGUUUAGAUCGGUGUGAGCCAGAUCGGUUUUUAUCUAUAAUUUAAUUUUAAUAAUUUUGUACGAAAGGACUUUUUAUUAGAAAUUAUUUUUAUUUAUAAUUUAUGAGAUUAAUAUUAAAAAAUUUUU
rnacentral:rRNA from 1 species